rnacentral:rRNA from 1 species
GCCUGCGGCCACACCACCUUGAAUAAGCCUGAUCUCGUCUGAUCUCAGAAGCUACGCAAUGUUGGGCUAGGUUAGUACUUGGAUGGGAGACCACCUGGGAAUAUCAAGUGCUGUAGGCAUU